UUAGUUGGUCCGUAAGUUUUGUGG
rnacentral:siRNA from 1 species